GUCAGUUAGCUGGGCCUAUUCUACCACAGCCUCUCAGUCCGUGAGAUGGGCUAUUCUACCACAGACCCCAGUCAGUUAGGCUGGUCUAUUUCUACCACAGACCUGUUAGUUAGCUGGGCCUAUUUUACCACAGACCUCAGUCAGUUUAAGUGACCUAUUCUUACUCACACACUCUGUUAUGUUAGCUGGCCAUAUUUACAACAGCCUAACUCAGUCAGUUAGCUGUGAGCUAUUCUACCAACAGACUCAUAGUAUUGGGCCUAUUCUACCACAGACCUGUCAGUCAGUUAGCUGGGCCUAUUCUACCACAGACCUCAGUCAGUUAGCUGGGCCUAUUCUACCACAGACACGUCAGUUAGCUGGCCUAUUCCCACCACAGACCUGUCAAGUUAGCGGGCUAUUCUAUCCACAGACCUCGUCAGUUAGCUGGGCUCAUUCUCCCAGACCUCAGUUAGCUGGGCCUAUUCUACCAC
rnacentral:lncRNA from 1 species